rnacentral:tRNA from 1 species
GGAGAGAUAGCUUAGGGGUUAAGAGCACUGGCUGCUCUUCCAGAAGUUCUGGGUUCAAUUCCCAGCACUCACUG